UCCUUUUCUCCAUAUGAAUAAGUUAAAAUUUUCUCUUUUUCUUCAGACAAAAGUGCUUUUGGCUGUUAAUUGCCAUUUUUCUUUGCCUGAAAUAUCAAGUUCUUUGCCUUUAUUUUCUUUUCCUCUGGUUCUUUGUUCCUCUUCCGCCGGCACAGUAAUUACAGCAUUUCAGUUGAUGAAAUCGGUAUGAAAUUGGAUUUCGUUUGGAUUUCAGAUUGUUAUUCAUGUCACAUGAUGAAUGAGUAGUUUUCAAGUUUCUUAAUGAAGUCAAUCAAAGUGGAGAGCAGCAGUGUUCCUAUGAGUUGUAUUUCUUUGCACGGGUCAUACAGUAGCCACUAAAAAUGGGAAGUAAAGGUCGAAUUCCACCCCCUCAUCUGAGGCGUCCUCUCCCAGUUCUUUAUGGGAAGUAAAGACUUACUACAACGGGUGCUUGGGUGCCAUAUGCGGGUGUAGAUUGGUCAAAGCUUUCCAAAAGACUUACUACAACGAGUAUGGAGGUGGUGCUAAUGAUCUCCAAAGUGGGUUCAACAAGGGCACUGGUUUAGGUGCUGAGAUCAUUGGUACCUUUGUUCUUGUCUACACUAUUUUCUCCACCACUGAUCCCAAGAGGAAUGCUAGGGAUUCCCGUGUUCCUGUGUUGGCACCACUCCCCAUAGGAUUUGCAGUGUUCAUGGUUCACCUUGCCACAAUACCAGUCACUGGGACUGGUAUCAACCUUGCUAGGAGCUUUGGAGCUGCUGUGAUAUACGACAAAGUGGAGGUUGAUCAAAACACUCAUCAUGCAAAGCUAGUAAAUAUCCCAGGAAGCUACACAAAGUCUGUCGAGUAAAAUUUUUUUUGGCUAUUUUGGUAUAGUGUUUUUUUUAUACAUAUAUGUAAUGCUAUUUUAGUAUAGUUGACUCGUAGGUGUCAUUCUUUGAAGAAUUUUUUCCGAUUUGUACACUUCUUUUGGGAACUGAUCUAGAAAACAAGAAGCUUGACCUUGAAAUCCGAUUUUAUCGUGGUACAUUUUGUAGAUGAAGAUAUAGAAAAUUGUCUUUCCCCUCUGUCUUGAUGAUUCAGUUUUUGCUGAUAUCUGGGAAUGAAUUUGCUUUUAUAUGUGUAUUGUUCAUCAUGUUCCAGAACACUUGAUAUUUCUUGGUACAGAUUAUGCAUUGACCUUUUGAUUGUUCUUGCAAAA